GCCCGCACGGAAAGAUAAUCUUUCCGUGCGGACGGCUUAACGGCCCGCACGGAAAGAUUAUCUUUCCGUGCGGGU
rnacentral:pre_miRNA from 9 species